rnacentral:rRNA from 1 species
CCUACGGGAGGCAGCAGUGGGGAAUAUUGGACAAUGGGGGGAACCCUGAUCCAGCGACGCCGCGUGAGUGAAGAAGUAUUUCGGUAUGUAAAGCUCUAUCAGCAGGGAAGAAAAUGACGGUACCUGACUAAGAAGCACCGGCUAACUACGUGCCAGCAGCCGCGGUAAUACGUAGGGGGCAAGCGGUAUCCGGAUUGACUGGGGGUAAAGGGAGCGCAGGCGGCCUUGCAAGUCUGAUGUGAAAUACCGGGGCUCAACCCCGGAGCUGCAUUGGAAACUGUGAGGCUGGAGUGUCGGAGAGGCAGGCGGAAUUCCUAGUGUAGCGGUGAAAUGCGUAGAUAUUAGGAGGAACACCAGUGGCGAAGGCGGCCUGCUGGACGAUGACUGACGCUGAGGCUCGAAAGCGUGGGGAGUAAACAGGAUUAGAUACCCCAGUAGUC